rnacentral:rRNA from 1 species
GGGGACAACCCGCCGAAAGGCGGGCUAAACCCGCGUACAUGCCACCGGGGCAUCCCGGAGGCAGGAAAGGCUUCGGCCGGACAGGGAUGGGCAUGCGGCGCAUUAGGCAGUAGGCGGGGUAACGGCCCACCUAACCGACGAUGCGUAGGGGUUCUGAGAGGAAGGUCCCCCACACUGGUACUGAGACACGGACCAGACUCCUACGGGAGGCAGCAGUGAGGAAUAUUGGUCAAUGGUCGGGAGACUGAACCAGCCAAGCCGCGUGAGGGAUGAAGGUACAGAGUAUCGUAAACCUCUUUUGCCAGGGAACAAAGGCGGGACGUGUCCCCGGAUGCGUGUACCUGAAGAAAAAGCAUCGGCUAACUCCGUGCCAGCAGCCGCGGUAAUACGGAGGAUGCGAGCGUUAUCCGGAUUUAUUGGGUUUAAAGGGUGCGCAGGCGGUCUGUUAAGUCAGCGGUCAAAGCCCGGGGCUCAACCCCGGCCCGCCGUUGAAACUGGCAGUCUCGAGUUGGAGAGAAGUAUGCGGAAUGCGCGGUGUAGCGGUGAAAUGCAUAGAUAUCGCGCAGAACUCCGAUUGCGAAGGCAGCAUGCCGGCUCCACACUGACGCUGAGGCACGAAAGCGUGGGUAUCGAACAGGAUUAGAUACCCUGGUAGUCCACGCAGUAAACGAUGAA